UUUGAUCCUGGCUCAGGAUGAACGCUGGCGGUAUGCUUAACACAUGCAAGUCGAACGGAACUUUUCGGAGAAUCUGGCUUCAGGUUCGGGACAACCACUGGAAACGGUGGCUAAUACCGGAUGUGCCGUAGGGGAAAGAUUAAUUGCCUGAAGAUGAGCUCGCGUCUGAUUAGCUAGUUGGUGGGGUAAGAGCCUACCAAGGCGACGAUCAGUAACUGGUCUGAGAGGAUGACCAGUCACACUGGGACUGAGACACGGCCCAGACUCCUACGGGAGGCAGCAGUGGGGAAUUUUCCGCAAUGGGCGAAAGCCUGACGGAGCAAUACCGCGUGAGGGAGGAAGGCUCUAGGGUUGUAAACCUCUUUUCUCAGGGAAGAAAAAAAUGACGGUACCUGAGGAAUAAGCAUCGGCUAACUCCGUGCCAGCAGCCGCGGUAAUACGGAGGAUGCAAGCGUUAUCCGGAUUUAUUGGGCGUAAAGCGUCCGCAGGUGGCAGUUCAAGUCUGCUGUCAAAGGUCGGGGCUCAACCCCGAACAGGCAGUGGAAACUGAACAGCUAGAGUACGGUAGGGGCAGAGGGAAUUCCCAGUGUAGCGGUGAAAUGCGUAGAGAUUGGGAAGAACACCGGUGGCGAAAGCGCUCUGCUAGGCCGAAACUGACACUCAUGGACGAAAGCUAGGGGAGCGAAUGGGAUUAGAUACCCCAGUAGUCCUAGCCGUAAACGAUGGAUACUAG
rnacentral:rRNA from 1 species